rnacentral:rRNA from 1 species
UCCUUCGGGAAUGGAUUAGUGGCGAACGGGUGAGGAACACGUGAGAAACCUGCCUUUCAUUCUGGGAUAACACCGGGAAACCGGUGCUAAUACCGGAUACUCCGUCUUGGCGGCAUCGCCGAGCCGGGAAAAAAUUUUGAUGAAAGAUGGUCUCGCGGCCUAUCAUCUAGUUGGUGAGGUAAAGGCUCACCAAGGCGACGACGGGUAGCCGGCCUGAGAGGGCGACCGGCCACACUGGGACUGAGACACGGCCCAGACUCCUACGGGAGGCAGCAGUAGGGAAUAUUGGGCAAUGGGCGCAAGCCUGACCCAGCGACGCCGCGUGAGGGAUGAAGGUCUUCGGAUUGUAAACCUCUUUCAGUAGGGAAGAAGCGAAAGUGACGGUACCUAAAGAAGAAGCACCGGCUAACUAUGUGCCAGCAGCCGCGGUAAUACAUAGGGUGCAAGCGUUGUCCGGAAUUAUUGGGCGUAAAGAGCUCGUAGGUUGUUUGUCGCGUCGAUUGUGAAAAUCUGAGGCUCAACCUCAGACCUGCAGUCGAUACGGGCAGACUAGAGUGUGGUAGGGGAGACUGGAAUUCCUGGUGUAGGGGUGGAAUGCGCAGAUAUCAGGAGGAACACCAAUGGCGAAGGCAGGUCUCUGGACCAUAACUGACACUGAGGAGCGAAAGUGCGGGGAGCGAACAGGAUUAGAUACCCUGGUAGUCCGCACCGUAAACGGUGGGCACUAGUUGUGGGAACCUUCCACGGUUUCCGCGACGCAGCAAACGCAUUAAGUGCCCCGCCUGGGGAGUACGAUCGCAAG